GAUGAACGCUAGCGGCAGGCUUAAUACAUGCAAGUCGAGGGGUAACAUGGGUAGCAAUACCUGAUGACGACCGGCAAACGGGUGCGGAACACGUACGCAACCUUCCCAUAACUGGUGAAUAGCCUUUCGAAAGAGAGAUUAAUACACCGUAACAUAACGAGCAGGCAUCUGCUUGUUAUUAUAGGCUUCGGCCGGUUUUGGAUGGGCGUGCGCCUGAUUAGGUAGUUGGCGGGGUAACGGCCCACCAAGCCUGCGAUCAGUAACUGGUGUGAGAGCACGACCAGUCACACGGGCACUGAGACACGGGCCCGACUCCUACGGGAGGCAGCAGUAAGGAAUAUUGGUCAAUGGACGAAAGUCUGAACCAGCCAUGCCGCGUGAAGGAUGAAGGCCCUCUGGGUUGUAAAC
rnacentral:rRNA from 1 species